UUCCUGCCAGCCACCCGCUCGUAUACCCAGGGCUCCCGUUAACCUUCCAGCCCUGACUCCUGCGGGAUGACAGCCCAAGAAGAAGAGGGCACAGGGGUUCCACCCAGCGACGAGAGGGUCUAAGCAGAGAUGAGAGGAGGGGCCCAGCCUCUGCUCCUCCUCUUGUCCUGGUGCCUUUGGCUCCAUAAAUUCCCAGAAGCAAGAUGGCGCCAUGGGCCUAAAGCUGGCAUUAAACCAAUAUGAUUUCAGGGGCAAGACCAAACUGCUGUUCCGAAUUUUAGUCUGCGAUUGGGCCAAAAUGGCAUUAUCACUUUCCUGGGCAGAGGAUCCUCAUUUCUGAGUCCCUGUCCUAGGCCGGGGCCAAGGGCUCCAGCCGCAGUGGCAGCAAAGCCAAGACUCUCCCCUAACUCAGCAUGGAGGGGAGGGAAGGAAGACCAGGGCCAGGCAGCGGGCUGGGAGUCGGGGGUGUGGGAGCCAAGACGGGGAUUGGACUAGGGCCAGGGAGGGCCCUGAAGGUAGGUGCUAAGCUGAGGUGUGUGAGGGACCCUCUGGGAGGUCUUGACCCCAUGGGAUGCGGAGUUGGGUUUUCCUAGCCCUGGCUCCUGCCUCCGUCCCCCUGGCCUACAGCCCCUGCAUGCCUUGGUCCCUGCCUGCUCCUCCCAAUGCCACCGCAUGCCACCUUUAGGCUCUUGUGGGACCUCAACUCCUCAGCUUCCUGCCCCUCUCCACCUCCAGCUCUCAGACCUUUCCCCUCCCUGUCACUGAACACACUGUGAGGCCCUUGCUUUGAGAGGGCAGGGAGGGCCUGGGACUGUUCCCACGGUGUCCUGUCGGGGCCAGGCACAAGCUCAAACUUAAAUGUGCAUAUGGGUCACUGGGCAGGGCUCGCGGGCCUGAGAGCUUGCACUCUAAGGAGCCCAGGUGCUGUCGAUGUUGCUCAGCUUCUGGUCGCAAUGCAAGGGUCCCUUCCUGAGCUCACCACACGCUGGGGUCACUCCGGGCUGUGGCUACCACUGGGCCUCGCUUCUGCCUUCUGCAAAAACCACAAACUCCCCAGGGCAGCA
rnacentral:lncRNA from 1 species